UGUUGGUGAUCCUGACUCAGUGCAGGC
rnacentral:piRNA from 1 species